UGGGAUAUAGCUCAGUGGUAGAGCACUUCUAGCAUGGGGGAGCCUCUAGGUUCAACCCCUAGUACCACAA
rnacentral:tRNA from 1 species